GGAUCAUUAGUGAAUUUUGAGCACUGCAGCACUGCAGGCUCGUCCUCCACUCUCCACUCUGUGCAUCAUUCACCUGGGACGACGGCUUUCGAGCUAGAGACCCAGGUAUACCUUUACAAACAUGAGUUAACGAACGUAAAUAAAACCAUAACAAAAAAAAACUUUCAACAACGGAUCUCUUGGCUCUCGCAUCGAUGAAGAACGCAGCGAAAUGUGAUAAGUAAUGUGAAUUGCAGAAUUCAGUGAAUCAUCGAAUCUUUGAACGCACCUUGCGCUCUCUGGUAUUCCGGAGAGCAUGCCUGUUUGAGUGUCAUGAACUCUUCAACCCACCGGUUCCUUGUUGGACCGAGCUGGUGUUUGGAUUCUGAUCGCUGCAAGCUCUGUCUUGCUCGGUCGUAAUACAUUAGCCCUCUCAAUUUCGAACUUCGGAUUGACUCAGCGUAAUAGACUAUUCGCUGAGGACACCCUCGGGUGGCCGACCAGUAGAUGACAGUAGAGGCUUCCAAUCCAUCUAGUCAAAUCUUUAGAUUAGACCUC
rnacentral:rRNA from 1 species